rnacentral:lncRNA from 1 species
AACGGCGUUCAUAUAUGAAUACAGGCAUUCCUCAAGGGAGAGACGCAGAUAGCGGCGGACGAGGCAUUCCAGAAUGCAGUGCACAACUACGUGGAAGUGUUCCUCAAAAGUGAACGAGUCCAGCGCAUGGUGGCCAGUGGGGCCUGCUCAGCGCACGAUUUCCGCGAGGUCUUCCGUGCCAACGUUGACAAGCGUGUGCGCAGCCUGCCCGAAAUGGAUGGACUUUCCAAGGAGACCGUCCUGGGUUCCUGGAUGACCAAGUUUUGACGCCAUCUUUCGCGGGGAUGAAGACACCCGCAGCCGAACGCAGCAGGGUCGUGCGGGCACCCUGCUACCACAUGGCCUGGCCUCUGAGCUGCUGCUCUCCAAAGAGCAGCUGUACGAGAUGUUUCAAGGGGUGCUCAACAUCAAGAAGUUCGAGCACCAGCUGCUCUACAAUGCACUACAGUUGGAUUCGGCAGAUGAGCAGGCAGCUGCCAUCCGGAGGGAACUGGACGGUCGUGUGCAGAAAGUGAACGAGAUGGAGAAGAACCGCAAACUGAUGCCCAAGUUUGUGCUGAAGGAGAUGGAGAGCCUGCAUAUUGAGGAGCUGCGCUCGUCCAUCAAC